GACGAACGCUGGCGGCGUGCCUAAUACAUGCAAGUAGAACGCACAGUUUAUACCGUAGCUUGCUACACCAUAAACUGUGAGUUGCGAACGGGUGAGUAACGCGUAGGUAACCUGCCUGGUAGCGGGGGAUAACUAUUGGAAACGAUAGCUAAUACCGCAUAAUAUUGAUUAUUGCUUGAUAAUUGAUUGAAAGAUGCUAUUGCAUCACUACCAGAUGGACCUGCGUUGUAUUAGCUAGUAGGUGAGGUAACGGCUCACCUAGGCGACGAUACAUAGCCGACCUGAGAGGGUGAUCGGCCACACUGGGACUGAGACACGGCCCAGACUCCUACGGGAGGCAGCAGUAGGGAAUCUUCGGCAAUGGACGAAAGUCUGACCGAGCAACGCCGCGUGAGUGAAGAAGGUUUUCGGAUCGUAAAGCUCUGUUGUAAGAGAAGAACGGGUGUGAGAGUGGAAAGUUCACACUGUGACGGUAUCUUACCAGAAAGGGACGGCUAACUACGUG
rnacentral:rRNA from 1 species